rnacentral:rRNA from 1 species
UACGUAGGGUGCGAGCGUUGUCCGGAAUUAUUGGGCGUAAAGGGCUCGUAGGCGGUUUGUCGCGUCGGGAGUGAAAACCAGGUGCUUAACACCUGGCUUGCUUUCGAUACGGGCAGACUAGAGGUAUUCAGGGGAGAACGGAAUUCCUGGUGUAGCGGUGAAAUGCGCAGAUAUCAGGAGGAACACCGGUGGCGAAGGCGGUUCUCUGGGAAUGACCUGACGCUGAGGAGCGAAAGCAUGGGGAGCGAACAGG